UUCUUUAAGAAAAUCAUAUAAAGUAAAACCUGCUCAAUGUUAUCGAUGAAUAGCCGCAGUAUAACUGUGCUAAGGUAGCGCAAUCACUUGCUCUUUAAUUUGGAGAUAGUAUGAACGGUUAAACACUUAAAAAAAGUAUCACUAGACCAUAUUAAUUUAAGCUAAAAGUAAAAACUCUUUUAAUAAAAGCGGGACGACAAGACCCCGACAAACUACAUCUUUUAGUUGGGGAAACAAAAUAAUAAUCAUUUAUUAAUACAAACACACCCACCUUUAGUAAUAAAAUUAAGAAAAGUUACUGCAGGGAUAACAGCGCAAUUUUCUCCUAGAGACCCUAUCCAAGAGAAAGAUUACGACCUCGAUGUUGAAUUAAAACCCCCUUAACAAUGCAGCAAUUGUGUAGGGUAGUCUGUUCGACUAUUAAAA
rnacentral:rRNA from 1 species